rnacentral:siRNA from 1 species
UGUAUUGUAAUAUGUCCCUAUGA